rnacentral:lncRNA from 1 species
CUUCCGACCUCUCCAGUCUUGGGAACACUCUCUGGGCGUCUCAGCCUUUCUCUACCACCCUUUCUCCCCACAGACCCCCUAGAGGAGCUCAGGUUUUCGGAAAGCGCAGUUAAAAGCGGUGGUUUGCAGGAACUGGGGGGGGAUGGGGGGGGACACAAAAUCAGCAUCUCAACAGAGCGUGCCGCGGGUUACCAGGCUGGGCGCCUGACGCCGAUCGUCUCGUUGGUUGCGGUCACCGAAGGCGGCAAGAAGCGCCCGGCCGGCUCCGGGUUCCAAACCGGGAGGUCGAGGCAGGCCGCGGGAGCGCUCCGCCAGGGCGGGGCCGCGGCCCAGGAGCAGCGUGGCCGGCAGGGGGCUCUCCGCGCCGGCCUCCGCGCGAGGACGCGCCGGCAGCCGCUCGGACCGGUUUCCAGGCGCAGACUUGCAACUCUGGUCACUGGAGAAGAUGGCUGUCUGCAGGACCCUGACCGUGUGAUCAUCCUUCUGGCCAGCCUGGCCUCUUGCUCCUUAGGCUCUGGUCAUCCCAGCUGGGCCUCCACAGCUCUCCCAGAGACAGUUUUUAAAGGGCUGGGUUUGCUCAGGAGCCUCAGCAUUCUUCCACCCAGGAGAAAGGACAGCGUCAAGGUGCUCCUAUUAAGCAGCCGGAGAACUACUCCGGCUCCGUGGCCACAAGUUAGAGCUGAAGAGAUUGUUGAGGCUCUGCCUUCAGAGCCCAGUCGAGAAGAUGCGACCAUCUGCAGCUGGCAGAAUUUUACAUCCGAUGCUUUUCCCUGCUGCUCAGAGUCAUCUUUUGAUCCUCAUUUUACAGGAUGGGCUGAGGCAUGAGUGGUCCGGAUACCCACCAGAAGACACAGCUAGGAUGGGCAGAGCUGGGGCUGACUCCCAGGGCCAGGGCUUUCAGUAAUAAUUACUUAUAAUUAGCAUUCGGUUCUAACAAGCAUAUCCUGAUGCUUACUAAUACUUAAGCAUUUGGUCAGCCAGUAUCCGGAGGUGCGUGGGUGGGUGCUGCUGUCUCAUGGAGGAGGUAUCUGCACCACAGGGAGGCUGGGUUCCCACCCCUGGGUCUUCCUGACGUGACUGCGCACCUGGCCAGCCUGCAUCCACAGCUGCCCCCAUUCAGCCUGCCAUGUGGCCCAGGAUCCCAGUUCUGGGCCGGGCAAGAUUUAACCCCAUUUUCAAAACACACCAGAGGCGUGGCCUAGGUAACGCAGCUGUGGCUGGCAGAGGCCCCUGGUUCCCUGCUCCCUGCCUGCACAGAGGUAUCUAGGAAAGAGC